rnacentral:lncRNA from 1 species
GCAUCCCACCACAGAGAAUGACAUAGAGGUCAAAAUGUAAAGCAAGUUCUCUAUUUUGGGACUGAGACCUGCCUGACCAACUCCUUUAGGCUUCCUCCCUACAUGUCACAAAUCUGAUCCCUCUUACUGCAAGAAACUCCUUUUCAUUAAAGCUGCAAGUCUCGAAAGACAGGCUAACAUUGACAUCUCUUUAAUUUGCCUAUCACUCAUCUUGCCUCUCCCUUCUGGCAAUGUGAUCAUCAAUUAUUGACUUUGGAGUACACUUGGAAGCAUCACGAGUAACAUGUUCCAAACCACUUUUUGAAAUACGUCAUCAGACUGUGAAUUUCUGGCUUCAUCUGGCUGGUCUUACUACAUAAAGGCCCCUGGUAGGCAGAGUCUUACAGGAGGAGGAAGAGAAGGAAAUUCAGAUUCCUGCUGAGACUCCUUGGGGACAGCCAGACAUGAAGACCCUGAUGCUUUUAGGACUUGUGCUCUUGUGUAGCCAGUUCACACUGAGCUUGGCCCAGGAGGAAGAACAAGGCUCAAAAGUCAUCUCAGAGGUCGCUAACAGUUUGCAGAAUACUCUGACAAAUGCUGUGAAAGAGCUCAACAAGGUGGACUUGAUAAAAGAAAUUGAGGACGCACCAAUUAUUGGAAAUGUGCUGAAGGCAUUGAGUGGAAUGAUUGGGAAAAUAGUUUCGUUCAACAUUAAAAAUGCCCAACUCCUGAAAAUUUCCCUCACAGAAAAUCAAGACAAAAAGAGUCUCUCUCUCAGUGUGCCCUUGGAUGUCUCUCUGAGUUUGAACACAUUGCUUCUCAAGGCGAUUGAUAUCACUCUAAAUGCGAACACAUCACUUGAACUCACAACUGAAAAGAAUGAAGAUGGAGAAGCUCGCCUGAGUGUUUCCAAAUGUCAGACAAGCUCUCAACUUCUUAAAAUCUCAUCCCAGCAAACGGGUUUAUUUGGAUGGGGACUAGAAGCUUUAUCUAAAUCCGUGAGCCGACUUGCUGAGUGGGAGGUCAAGCAAUUAGUCAACAUUCUCAAGUGUGAUGGGUCCAUAGGUCAACUCCCAGGUCAGUUCUGCCCUUUGAUCAGAACCGUAGUAGGACUGGCGCCUCCAGCACUGGUAGGCGCUUUGCAUGAUGUGGUACAUGGGGACGUCACUGUUACUGUGUAAUUCUCCAUUAAAUGGACAAUAACUUCCCUCCUCCCCCAAGGAUAAGACCCUCUUGCUCUUCUUUUCCUUCUGCCUGAAGCCAUUUAAAGCCAGAGGACAACUUACUGGAU